ACGGGAGGCAGCAGUGGGGAAUAUUGGACAAUGGGGGCAACCCUGAUCCAGCCAUGCCGCGUGUGUGAAGAAGGCUUUCGGGUUGUAAAGCACUUUCAGCGAGGAGGAAGGCUCUAAAGUUAAUACCUUUAGGGAUGACGU
rnacentral:rRNA from 1 species